CUACUUCGUGACGUCGUUUCGUGAUCUACGGAAAGCGAGAAGGAACUAUUUUUGCCCUGCCGCAUCAAGCUGGACGCGAAUCUCGUCUGUGCUUCCUUUCGGUUUAUAUUCUCUGUAAUUGUACGAGAUUUUUACGACCAUUAGCGCGCAUUUGUCGAUUAACUUACGAAGAUGGUAACGGGCCUCGGGCUGACUGGAUUUUAUAUCGUAAAAGUCAAUUGAGAAGAAGAAUGUCUGUGCAGGUUUGCUAGCCACUGUUAGCAUUGAUGAUGAGAACCAUCGGGGGACGCUAACCCCAACAAGCAGCCGUCACUUUUUGCCAUGACUCAACCCUGAGCUCGUUUUUCUUCUGGAAGCCCCACUGAGAACAUAUCGUCGGUCGUGCCUUUAUAUCUCCCCAGCGAACUCCAGGAUGAGAAACUGUGAGUACCGGCAGAUCGACCCGCUGGCGCUGUCGGCGACACCCGCUUCUUCGGCUCCGCAGACCACCGACAAGAAAGCGGAGCGGCUGCGGCGGAAAUGGGAAGUGUUCCCGGGGAAGAACCGAUUUUUCUGCGACGGUCGUGUCAUCGUGGCCAGACAGAGCGGCGUCCUCCCGCUGACACUGGGGCUUAUUGUUGUCACCUGUGGCCUUUUCUUUGCAUUCGAUUGCCCAUUCCUGGUGGAACAUCUGACAGUCUUCAUCCCAGUGAUCGGCGGGGUGCUGUUUGUGUUUGUGGUCCUCUCCUUGCUUAGAACCAGUUUUACAGACCCAGGCAUCCUACCCAGGGCCACCUCAGACGAAGCUGCAGACAUAGAGAAGCAGAUAGAUACCUCAGGAGCCUCCUCGUAUCGCCCCCCUCCACGGACCAAGGAGAUCCUCAUCAACCAGCAGGUGGUCAAGCUCAAGUACUGCUUUACGUGUAAAAUGUUUCGCCCUCCGCGGACGUCACACUGCAGCCUUUGUGACAACUGUGUGGAGAGGUUUGAUCAUCACUGCCCGUGGGUGGGCAACUGUGUGGGCAGGCGGAAUUACCGCUUUUUCUACAGUUUCAUCAUCUCCCUGUCUUUUCUGACAUCUUUCAUAUUUGGCUGCGUCAUAGCACACAUUAGCUUGCGUUCUCAAUCGGGUAAAAGCCUCAUCCAAGCCAUCCAGGAGAGCCCUGCCAGUGUGGUGGAGCUGGUCAUUUGUUUCUUCUCCAUCUGGUCUAUUAUGGGCCUCUCAGGCUUCCAUACCUACCUAGUAGCCUCCAACCUUACUACCAAUGAGGAUAUUAAGGGGUCCUGGUCAAGUAAAAGGGGCGCAGAGGACUCUGCGAACCCGUACACUUACAACAGCAUCCUAGCCAACUGCUGUGUGACGUUAUGUGGGCCCAUGCCCCCAAGCCUGAUUGACAGGAGAGGCUUCCUGCCACCUGAGGAGUCCGUCCCCGCUGCUUCUGCCUCAGAGAUCGAGCUGCCUUCCUUCGCAGCCAAGAAUGACACGAAUGUGUGCACACAGAGCACCAAAGACGUGCUCGAGAGGAUGCUCUACUCCUCCGCCUUUCACGGUCUCUGCCUUCCUGGCACCCCAAAGACGACCCUUGUGGGCCUGGAGGUCACCAGUGUCCCGGGCCGCGCACCGGAGACGUCACCCACAGCGAGAAUGAUUUUCCCAACUGCGGUGACAGUAAAUCAGCGAUAGUUGGCCUCAUGGAAACAGUGAGGAGGCGCAUGUUGAGCACACGUGUUCAAGGGUGCGUUUGAAGUUUGAUUUCACAAUGUGGACAACAGGCGCCCUCAAAGUAAACUGCAAGACAGUGACAUCAAGGGAAUGCAAAAGAACAUCCAAAGAAAUCAGCCAAGAUAUCAGGAAAAGAAUUGUGGACUUGCACAAGUCUGUUUCAUCCUUGGGUGCAAUUUCCAGAUGCCUGAGGGUGCCACAUUCAUCUGUUCGAACAAUUAUACGCAAGUAUAAACACCAUGGGAAUGUCCAGCCAUCAUACUGCUCAGGAAGAAGACAGGUUCUGUGUCCCAGAGAUGAACGUGCUUUGGUCCAAAAUGUCCAUAUCAAUUUAAGAAGAAAAGCAACAGACCUUGUUAAGAUGCUGGCUGAAGCUGUUAAGUGUGUGUCAUUAUCCACAGUGAAACGAGGACAUUGCUGACAUGGGCUGAAAGGCCACUCGGCAAGGAAAAAGCCCUUAUUACACCAAAAGAAACCAAAAAAAGACAGAUCACACAAGGGCAAAGACUUGAAUUUUUUGGAGACGCGUCAUGUGGUCUGACGAAACUAAAAUUGAACUGUUUGGCCAUAAUGAGCAUCGUUGCAUUUGGAGGAAAAAAGAGGGAAGCUUGCAAGCUUUCUGCAACUGAGUGAGCAAAGUACUGGGUGAAAAGAUGGGCCGGGUUGACUGCGAGAAAGCUGAUGGAUGCUGAGUCACUAUAAGGGCAUGACCAGACAUAACACAUAGCUCCCUAUGUUUGCCACGAAAGGGAUAAUGUUCCCUAAAGCUUUUGUUACCGAAAAGGAAGUUGAUUGCAGAAAAUCACUGCAUUUGACAAAGGGAAAUGUACAGUAAAAAUCUGUGUGCGUGUGUGUGUGUUUAUUUUUUUCCUGACUCUAAAACAUGACGUCGGAUGUCUGAGCUCCAGCUGCUAUUCAAAGCCUUGCCGCUUAUAACGCACAGCAGCUUUUGGCCAUGUGUGCUUCGUGUGCCUUUUUUCCCCCCUGCUGCUUGUGAAAGUCAAACCUGCCCCACAUAACAUGAAUCUUCUGAACUAAUGACAAACCGCAUCUCACCCAGACGUUGCUUUCUUAUCUGAGGAUAAAUACUGUGCUCCUCUUGAGAUACGAAUGACCCGACUUGGGAGUUUUUCGAGAGACGACCUGUCAUCCGGACGAUUAUUAUUAUUAUUAUUUUUUGCUUUGACUUGCGAGGAAAAAAGUUGAGAUAUGAGCGCUGUAUGGUUGCAGUGAACUUAACUCACUUCACAACAAGCAGAAGUUGAGCAGAUAGUGACCAAAUCUGUAAAAAUAACCUGUUUAAUACUUGGAAGUUUGCUGUCACACUAAAUUGCACGUUGUGUAUUUACAACAACCACAUAACUUUGCCUUAAAAUCCGCUAGCUUAAUGCUAACACAUACUGGGAAACACCAAAGAUGGGCUCACGAAUAAUAGCCUUGCUGUUGUGGUGUUAUAACCCUUCAAACAACGAAUAUUUGGACACAAAUGCUGGAGCAACACUUGGACAAAUAAUAUAACAAUGCUCAGAGCCAUGCAUUCUUUAUCCUCUGUGAUGGGUUACUGAGGAGAUGUGACCAGUUCCAUGUACAGUAUAGCCGUACGUCUGUAUUAUAUUAAACCCAGGUGGCCAAGGCGCGCACAUCAGAAGGAGCACCACAAUUCCCAUUGAAUUGAAGCAAAAACUGUGGCAAAAGCUGUUUCAUUUCUUUACAUUCUAUUUAAUUAUAAUUGUUUUUUUCAUCUGUUAGACUACGACUUCCGCGUUGGGCACCGUUUCCUCCAAUCCAACGUAAGCGCUAGUGACGUUUGGCUAUAUCAAACGACACAAAGUAGUCACAUGACCGCACACUAUUGGGCUCCGCGAGCAUACUGUAGAUAUAAACACUAGAAACGCCAGCCCGGCUAAUCGACGUGCCUACGUGGCGGUCAUGUUGGGAAGGUUGUUGUUCCCAGAGAAGGCAACGGUGCGCGACUGUUUACAUUUCAGAUGAGCUCCCAUGCAUUUUAGUAUUUGUCUGGCACUGUCUGCCCAAACGGGGAUAUUCCAGCCCACUUCUUUAAGAUGAGAAAACCCAUUGCGGUAAAUUGCGGAUGUUUUGGUUGUUAUUUUGGCUGUACAUUUUAGCCCAGAUUAGCCCUAUUUUAUGGUCAUAAAAAGUAAUGGUAAAACAUGCAUCUUUUGGGGUAUGUGCUAAUCACGCUCACACACACACACACACGCACACACUGCGCAUUCACGUUGAGGUUUUUGUACUUUAUUUAAGGUUCAUGCUAACUAAAUCAAGUUACCCACAAUUUACGCAGUACUUUCCACUGAGUACUUUCUUACUCAAGUAAUUUUUGGGAGGACGACUUUUUACUUUUACUUGAGUCACAUUACUUUCAAAUGACAGUACUCUUACUUGAGUACAAUAUUUGGCUACUCUACCCACCUGUGAUUAAUCUAUAAAUCGGAUUAAAAAAGAAAUUAUGAAUUUUCAUCCCUUUAUUAUAAAAAAAACCCCAGGACUUUGUUUCAAAUUGUCAGUGAAGAAAAUGCACAAACAUGAAUUGAUUAUGAUUCAGCUACUGGUUAAAUAGGAAAAUAGGCAAAAAAUGUUGAUAACUGAUUUCCAAAGUGAAAGCAGAUGUUUGCAAAUGUCUUCUUUUCAUUAAACACAAAGCUGAUCAGACUACAGAAAUCUGAGAAUAUUAACUGGUGAGAGGCUGAAAUUCCGAGGAUUUGGACAAGCUUAAGUUAAACAAGGUCUAUACGUGAUUAGUCGAUUAUCUAAAGUUGUUGAUUAAUUUGAUAAUAGAUGAAUGGAUUCAUUGUUGCACCUAUAGUUAUGUACAGUAUAUGUUGACGUUAUGAUGUGGACCGUGUGUUUUGAGCUGCAAAAGUUAGGGAACCCCUGCUUGAAGCACGUAAUGGCAUCCAGAUGGUUCCUCACGAUGUAGCUGACGCAUCCCCAGGGGGCCCCCCUGGAGGUGAUAUAUACAAAAUGAGGAUAAUGAGCUGAGAAAUGUGCUGCGACAGAUUUAUUUAUGUUUUUAUAUAUUUGUUUUACUGCUUGCUCACUUGGUUGGCUGUUAAAACUGUGAGGUUGGAAAAAUGUGCUUCUGCUCUUAAAAAUCAUUUAGCCAACCUGGACUGGGAUGAUCCUAACAGAUAUGGCUUGUGGGGAAUUUAUCUGGAAAGAUCCCACUGAUUUGAGUGGCUCCCGUAUUUUGCUCGGGCUCAGAGUUGGUCUCCCGGCGCCGGGAGGGCAGCGGGGUGCGGGAGUUCUGGGAAUGAAACCGGAGCUCCCUGCUAAAUAGGGGUUCCCCUCUCACUUCUGGUAAACUCUGCAGAGGUUGAAAGGAGUCUGGACUCCCCUUCUGGAAGUUUUUCAUAUGCAACGUCUCGCAGCGGGGUCACGUGUUGGGAAAACGGCACAACUAGUAUAUUUUAUUUUUACACUUUAAUGAUAUUCUUGGCCCGGUGUCUGUGCUUUGCGGAUAGCUGUACGGAAGGGUCAUAUACGGAGCCACGUAGGGCGAAAAGUAAAGCGACAUGGGGUUUGUUUUCUAAAAACACUUAUACAGGGUCAUUAUGAGACGGCUGUACAGUAUGGUUUGCCCUCCUGUUAAGGAAUCUGUCCAAGUAAGAUCCCAGCCAAAGAGAGCGAGCUGAAGGACUUUUAAGAGCGAAGCAAUAAAUUCCUCUCUUUGACACAGCCUCACCUAUAACUCAUUCGUCCACAAUCCACAUAUGUGCUUGGCGAGCUUUUUGGCUUUCAGUGGGAAAUAAAGCGACAUUUGACACGAAUAAAAUAUGGGCCUGACACACAGCCAGAAUCUCUUCACUCCUCUGAUGUGCCGUAGAAAAGCUGCAGAGUUGAUUUAUUGCGAAUUUCAUCGCAACUUCUAAAGGAAUUUCUUAUCUCGCUAGACCACUGUUUGCUUUCUUUCUACAAUGGCCUCACUUUGCGGAUAGCUGUACGGAAGGGUCAUAUACGGAGCCACGUAGGGCGAAAAGUAAGGGUUCAAAACACACAGCUUAUAUUCAAAGGGUUGUUUUUCCCCCCCGUCUCCUUUCAGCGAGUAAAAUUAACCGGUGUUACAUAAUACAUAGUCCAAAGCUAUACUUGACCGUUGAACUUUAGAGCACUUCAACUAUGCAAUAACAAGUCAAGACUGUGUGGCCCUCCAGAGCAAAGAAAUAAACUAAGUAAAACAACAAGAAAUGUAAGUUUGACAUUAAACAUAGUUUUUACACAUUUUGUAAACUCAGUAUUUGAAAUUGAGCGAUAAUUGGCGGUGUUAUUAGGCUUCAAAAUGAUGUGAAUUUUUUUGGAACACCCAGUAUGACUAAAAAAUUAAAAAAGUAUAAGAAUAAAAUUAAAAAUAGGAUUAACUC